AUAAGGAAAGUAAAGAAGGGCGCAUGGCGGAUGCCUUGGCUCUCGGAGGCGAUGAAGGACGUGAUAAGCUGCGAUAAGCUCCGGGGAGGUGCAAAUAACCUUUGAUCCGGGGAUUUCCGAAUGGGACAACCCGGCGUGUUGAAGACACGCCACCUGAUCAUUUCAGGAGCUAACGCAGGGAACUGAAACAUCUUAGUACCUGCAGGAAAAGAAAAUAACAAUGAUUCCCCCAGUAGUGGCGAGCGAACGGGGAAUAGCCCAAACCGUUCAUGUUACGGCAUGAUCGGGGUUGUAGGACUACGUCGUUGCAUGAAGACAUCGGAGAAGAACUUUCUGGAAAGAAAGACCAUAGAGCAUGACAGUUGCGUAUUCGUAUGUUGUCGAAGCAUAGUAGUAUCCUGAGUAGCGCGGAGCACGAGGAAUUCUGCGUGAAUCUGCCGGGACCAUCCGGUAAGGCUAAAUACUCCCGAGAGACCGAUAGCGAACCAGUACUGUGAAGGAAAGGUGAAAAGCACUUCGAAUAGAAGAGUGAAAUAGU
rnacentral:rRNA from 1 species